UGGGCCGUCGCCAAGCGGUAAGGCACUGGGUUUUGAUCCCAGCAUGCGUAGGUUCGAAUCCUUCCGGCCCAGCCA
rnacentral:tRNA from 1 species